ACACGCCCAAGAGUUGUUUGUCUGCCUCGGGUCCCCUCCAGCCCUACCCUUGGAGGAAAGAGGCGGAGAGGAGGCCAGGAAGCCGGCAGGGUAGAUCAGGCCAAAUGGUGGGGGGCGCCAAAUGCCAGGCCAAUGUGGAGCCAGUUUGGGCUGGUUCCUCUCUCGGAUCAGAAGGAAAGAGGAGGUCUGGCCUAUGCUGAGCUUGCAGCUAGAGAAGGACGAACGGACUCUUUGUCAGGACGGUGAGAUUGCCCGGGGGAAGCUGUACAGGUGCCUUCUCUGGAUAUAGUGAAUGUGGAGAAUGAAGGAGAUGGAAUGACCUCUCUGAAGCAGGACGCACCAUCUCCAGAUAGGCACGUAUUGGAUCUCCCAGCCUGGUGACUCUUCCGUGGUCUAAUCUGAACACCUCUGACCUGCCACACCUCUGGCCAGCCUCCAGUUAGCUGCUUUUCAGGAGAUGUGCCAUCCAUCUCUUUUUCUCAUUCCUCAGAUGAAGCUCGUUCCCCAUGCUGGAUGCCAACCCCCAAAAUCUGAGGCGAGAAAGCAAUGCAGGAAGGCGAUUCAGCUCCUUUGCAGAUCUGUCAGAGGAUGCAAUUGGUGCCUUUGAGCAAAGUGAUGCUGCCAUGACCUGAACUGGAAAUAGGAGGACCAGAUAGAGAUGGGCUACAUUGAAUUCGAGGCUCCAUCCUCUGUACCAGGCCCUGGGCUAAGCACUUUACAUGCUUCAGAUUAAAACUUUACUAGGA